GCCGGGGAGUUAGCGGUGCCCUGUACCUACAAUCCGCUAUAGUAGGGGUGAUGCUUUGGCCGAGGGUUAUUGCUGUAUAUAGCUGCCCUUGAUAAGUGGCGUUGACGUUUGGGUCUUGCGCGACGGUGCCUUACGAACCGUGUCAGGUCAGGAAUGGAGCAGCACUAAGUAAGUGAUUUCCGGGUGCCGCAAGGGUGCCUGGACCGAGCAAACUGUCAAGGUAACGUGUAUGUGGCGUAAUUCGAAGCAAGGCGUGCG
rnacentral:SRP_RNA from 1 species